CCUACGGGUGGCAGCAGUGGGGAAUAUUGCGCAAUGGGCGAAAGCCUGACGCAGCGACGCCGCGUGAGGGAUGAAGGUCUUCGGAUCGUAAACCUCUGUCAGCAGGGAAGAACGGUCACUGUGCUAAUCAGCAGUGAAUUGACGGUACCUGCAAAGGAAGCACCGGCUAACUCAGUGCCAGCAGCCGCGGUAAUACGGCGGGUGCGAGCGUUAAUCGGAAUUACUGGGCGUAAAGGGCUCGUAGGCGGUAUGGCAAGUCAAGGGGGAAAUCCCCGCGCUCAACGGUGGAACUGCCUUUGAAACGGGGCAACUGGAGUGCGUGAGAGGAAAGUGGAAUUCCAGGUGUAGGGGUGAAAUCCGUAGAUAUCUGGAGGAACAUCAGUGGCGAAGGCGACUAUCUGGCACAUAACUGACGCUGAGGAGCGAAAGCGUGGGUAGCAAACAGGAUUAGAUACCCCAGUAGUC
rnacentral:rRNA from 1 species